rnacentral:antisense_RNA from 18 species
CCUCAUGGCGGCAGUACGUGGGGCACCUCGUGUGCGCCGGGUCUCGGAGUCCUCGGUCUGUCAACCCACGUACCGCUGCCACCCUC